CUUAUUACGUUUUUUUCUGUCAACUGAACCUAAUGGCGAGCAAACAUAUGAAGAUCCCCUUGAUAAAUACGAGGAGUUUGGCGUACCAGAAACACCGCCGCAUCAAAUACGUGGGGGUUUUCAAUCUUUUAAUGCACAAUCCGAGUAUGAGGAAAUGUAUGUUACACCGGAUAAUCAACAUUACCACAAAACUGAUGGCACACCUAUGGAUGCUAGCUACGUACCCUGAUUCUAAUAACAGAAAUCCAUUACGCGGGUCUCAGGUUUCGUACGAAGCUGACAAGGAUUUCAACUCUCGAGAGGACCUAGUGGGUUGGGCUACUGAAAAAGCACUAGAGCACGGGUUCAUUCUUGUCACAGGGCGUUCUUCGAGCCGUUCAGGAAGGGUAGUCAGGGUGGAAAUUCGGUGCACCCAAUAUGGGAAGCACAAAUGCACCUCUAAAAAAAGACGUACUGGUAGUCAAAAAACGGAUUGCCCUUUCCUACUGGUAGGCACAUACAAUACAAAACAACAUGUUUGGAAAUUGGAUGUCAAAGAUGAAAAACAUAACCACGACCCUCCUAAAUUUAUGGAGGCGCAAACAUUUGCACGAAAGUUGACUCCCUAACAGACCGACACGAUGAAGACAUUGCAAGGGCAAGGUUUGCAGGGCCGACAACUAUUUUCUUCCGUUAGAAAACUAUUUCCGAAAUCAAUAACCAUUCUGAGAGACGUAUAAAACUUCAAUAUGAAUAUCAACCAAACGAAUAAAAUGGGUGAUACCCCAAUGCAGGUAUUGUAAUUUUAGUUACACAUUUACCGUUGUUAUUGACAAGCCUUUAUUUUACUUUCAGGUGUUGGAGAUCGAAGAACUACGUUUAUUACACUAAAAAUGACACCGAAACAGAGGAGCUUGAAAUGAUAUUCUUCGUUCAUCCCUUGUCAUACGAGAUGUGGCGCGCAUUUCCGCAUGUGUUGUUGAUUGACGCCACUUACAAUACCAACAAGUAUAAAUAUCCGCUCGUGCAAGUUAUUGGCGUCACAUCACUAAGUAGAUCCGUUUCUAUUGUGCAUGCAUUGAUUCAGAAAGAACGUGGAGACAAUUACAAUUGGCUCCGCACAAGGCUGUAAAAAACUCAUCCGGCGGGGAGAUGUUUGCUAAUUUGUAUAGAAAUGUCUCACACAAGGCUCUUGACUUGAUGGAAGAAGAGUGCGACAAAAUACAUAAGUUGAGAGAGAAUAAUGAAACAUGUGCAGGGACCAUAUUACCACUGGAGGAAAUUGACAUAUUCUGGAGGAAGCUCGAUAUCAGUCCCGCGUUCACUGUAGAUGAGGAGAAUGACUAUGCCAGACAGAUGGGGGUUGUCACCAACGAAAUAUUGUCCCAAUCCUCACCGACAGGGAAAAAAAGUAUGGUAUCUAAGGUCAUGUCAGCACUUUUCCCAUUGAAGUCAACCAAGGCUCCCAAAGUACAAGUGGACACUCGUGGGCGCCCAACAUUAACGAAGGCAAGGCAGGCAUGUUUAAUACAGGAUCUCAUGAGACCAACAUUGUUGCAGGUCAAAGUAGUUAUCGCAACGGUUCAGCCAACUCUCAAGCAACAAUCACCCCCAUUCUAAGGCGUAGUGCUUCAACAGCACGUACAUGUACAAGACACCAUUCCCGGAUUUCCAUCGAUGGGGGCGGACAUGGACGUCAUUGAUGUUAUGCGGCUCGAACAAUAUAUACCGUCAAUCUUUCACCCGUUCAUUUCACGAAUAACAGAUGUCCCCGACAAUGGUCCUUGUGGUUUUGCUUCGGUGGCCGUGGGUUUGGGGUACACAAAGUACGACCAUUAUUCUAUUCGGCAACAGAUGCGCUAGCAGAGUUCAAAUUGGUGGAAAUCAUGUAUUGAUUACGAACAACAAGGGACCUUUGAUAGGUUGCGUUCCAGCAUAUAUUGGCCUAAUCCACUUGAAAAGGCAGACAAGGAAAACUAUAUGGAGUUUCCCUUUGUUGAAUGUAUAAUAUUCAGUCAUAUAAAUAAUGAGGUUUAUUAUAGAUGAAUUAUUGACAACAUAUUUUAUUGUUUAUCAUAUGAUGAUGCUCCUGUCAUUUUGUGAUGUUGGUUUUCUGCAUUUUAUUGAAUCUAAGUUUUGCGUUA